GCGGGUAUGGUUCAGUGGUAGAAUGCCAGCUUCCCAAGCUGGAGAUGAGGGUUCGAUUCCCUCUACCCGCA
rnacentral:tRNA from 3 species